rnacentral:rRNA from 1 species
GACGUAGGUGGCGAACGUUAUCCGGAAUUAUUGGGCGUAAAGGAUGCGUAGAUGGUGUAGUAAGUUAUCGGUGGCAAAUCGAGGCUCAACCUCGUGGAAGUCGGUAAUACUGCUAUGCUAGAGGAUAGGAGAGGUUAACGGAACUCCCUGUGGAGCGGUGAAAUGCGUAGAUAUAGGGAGGAACACCGGUGGCGAAGGCGGCUUCCUGGACCGAUUACUGACGCUGAGGCGCGAAAGCUAGGGGAGCAAACGGG